rnacentral:piRNA from 1 species
UAAGAAUAUGGUCAGAUACAAAGUCAACAU